AAGUAACAAAGGGUGUUUAGUGGAUGCCUUGGCAAUCAGAGGCGAUGAAGGACGUGAAAGACUGCGAUAAGUCCGGGUGAGCCGUCAAUAUGCUUUGACCCCGGAAUUUCCGAAUGGGGAAACCCAAUCCGAAUGGAUUAUCUUUGACUGAAUACAUAGGUUAAAGAGGCAAACGCGGAGAAGUGAAACAUCUCAGUAUCCGCAGGAAAAGAAAGCAACAGCGAUUCCCUUAGUAGUGGCGAGCGAAACGGGACCAGCCCAGUGGUUUGGAUUUUAGCUAGCAAAAUGUGGUGGAAAACACAGCAAUAAUAGGUGAUAGCCCUGUAUGCGAAAGCUAGUUUCCGAAUCCAAGAGUAGAGCCGUACACGUGAAAUUCGGUUCGAAUAUGGGGGGACCUUCCCCCAAGGCUAAAUACUCCUGAUUGACCGAUAGUGAACAAGUACCGUGAGGGAAAGGUGAAAAGAACCCCGAAGGGGGAGUGAAAUAGACACUGAAACUGAAUACCUACAAGCUGUCAGAGCCGGUUUUCCGGUGAUGGCGUACCUUUUGUAUAAUGAGCCAACGAGUUAUUAUUGCAUGCAAGCCUAAGCCGCUAGGUGUAAGCGAAGGGAAACCGAGUCUGAAUAGGGCGAUUUGAGUAUGCAGUAAUAGACCCGAAGCGGGGUGAUCUAGGUAUGGGCAGGCUGAAGGCGGUGUAACAAUCGCUGGAGGGCCGAACGCACCAAUAUGGCAACAUUGGGCGAUGACCUGUGUCUAGGGGUGAAAAGCCAAUCGAACCCCGUUAUAGCUGGUUCUCCGCGAAAACUAUAGAGGUAGUGUCUCAAGUGUUCGUUGUUGGGGGUAAAGCACUGAAAUGGCUAGGGGGAGUAAAAUCUUACCAACCCAUAUCAAACUCUGAAUACCAACAAAUUAUAGCUUGGGAAACAGUCCAUCGGUGCUAAGGUCGGUGGACGAGAGGGCAACAGCCCAGACCGCCAACUAAGGUCCCAAAAUGAUGAUUAAGUGGGAAAGUGAGUCGAGAUUCCAAAACAACCAGGAUGUUGGCUUGGAAGCAGCCAUCGUUUAAAGAAAGCGUAAUAGCUCACUGGUCUAUUAGAGUUUCGGCAACGAAAAUGUAACGGGGCUAAAAUCAUCUACCGAAGUUGCGGGUGCGUCGUAAGACGUGCGGUAGCGGAGCAUUCUGUAAGCCUGUGAAGCCGAAGGUGUGAGCCACGGUGGAGGUAUCAGAAGCGCGAAUGUUGGCAUGAGUAGCAGCUAAUCAAGGUGAGAAACCUUGACGCCGUAAGAGCAAGGGUUCCUAUCCAAUGUUAAUCAGGGUAGGGUGAGUCGACCCCUAAGGCGAGGCCGAAAGGCGUAGUCGAUGGGAACACGGCUAAUAUUCCGUGACCUGCGUGAGAGUGACGAAUUGUGUAAAUUGUGUCGCCUUAUUGGAUUGGUGAUGCAGUGAAACAGUUCCGGGAAAUAGCCCACGCGUAUAGAUCGUACCCAGAACCAACACAGGUGCUCGAGUCGAGUAGACUAAGGCGGUUGAGAGAACUAUGUUGAAGGAACUAGGCAAAAUGCAUCCGUAACUUCGGGAUAAGGAUGACCUGUUUCAAGGCAACUUUAAUCAGGUGACACAAACCAGGUGGGGGCGACUGUUUACUUAAAACCCAGGUCUCUGCUAAAUCGUAUAAGAUGAUGUAUAGGGGCUGACGCCUGCCCAGUGCUGGAAGGUUAAGCAGAGGUGUGCAAGCAUUGAUGUGAAGCCCCAGUAAACGGCGGCCGUAACUAUAACGGUCCUAAGGUAGCGAAAUUCCUUGUCGGGUAAGUUCCGACCCGCAUGAAAGGUGUAACGAUUUGGGCACUGUCUCAACAAUGGACCCGGCGAAAUUGUAGUAUACGUGAAGAUGCGUAUUACCCGUGACUGGACGAGAAGACCCCGUAGAGCUUUACUGUAUCCUGAUACUGACUUCUGGAAAUGAUCGUAUAGAAUAGGUGGGAGGCUGUGAUAUGCAGAUCCAAGUUUGCAAGGAGCCACCUUUGAAAUACCACCCCUUUGUUUUCGGAAUUCUAACGCUACGCCAUGAAGCUGGCAAGCGGACAAUGUCAGGUGGGCAGUUUGACUGGGGCGGUCGCCUCCUAAAGAGUAACGGAGGCGUCCAAAGGUUCCCUCAGAAUGGUUGGAAAUCAUUCGUAGAGUAUAAAGGCAUAAGGGAGCUUGACUGCGAGACUUACAAGUCAAGCAGAUACGAAAGUAGGGCUUAGUGAUCUGGCGGUUGAUUAUGGAAUUGCCGUCACUUAUCGGAUAAAAGUUACCUCGGGGAUAACAGGCUGAUCUUAUCCAAGCGUACACAGCGACGAUAAGGUUUGGCACCUCGAUGUCGACUCGUCAUAUCCUGGGGCUGAAGUUGGUCCCAAGGGUUCGGCUGUUCGCCGAUUAAAAUGGCACGCGAGUUGGGUUCAGAACGUCGUGAGACAGUUCGGUCUCUAUCCAUCAUGGGCGUAAGAUAUUUGAGAGGAUCUGCUCCUAGUACGCAAGGACCAGAGUGGACGUUCCUACUGUGCAUCGGUUGUUUCGCCAGAAGCAUAGCCGAGUAGCGGAGAACGGGAAAGAUAAACGCUGAAAGCAUAUAAGCGUGAAACUUGCCUCAAGAUAAGAUAUCUCAUAGCAUAAGCUAGUAAGACCCCUUGAAGACGACAAGGUUGAUAGGUCAAGUGUGGAAGUGCAGUAAUGCAUGAAGCUGAUUGAUACUAAUAGGUCGAGGGCUUGAU
rnacentral:rRNA from 1 species